CCUACGGGAGGCAGCAGUAGGGAAUAUUGCUCAAUGGGGGAAACCCUGAAGCAGCAACGCCGCGUGGAGGAUGAAGGUUUUCGGAUUGUAAACUCCUUUUGUUAGAGAAGAUAAUGACGUUAUCUAACGAAUAAGCACCGGCUAACUCCGUGCCAGCAGCCGCGGUAAUACGGAGGGUGCAAGCGUUACUCGGAAUCACUGGGCGUAAAGAGCGCGUAGGCGGGAUAGCAAGUCAGAUGUGAAAUCCUAGGGCUUAACCAUAGAACUGCAUUUGAAACUGUUAUUCUAGAGUAUGGGAGAGGUAGGUGGAAUUCUUGGUGUAGGGGUAAAAUCCGUAGAGAUCAAGAGGAAUACUCAUUGCGAAGGCGACCUGCUAGAACAUAACUGACGCUGAUGCGCGAAAGCGUGGGGAGCAAACAGGAUUAGAUACCCCAGUAGUC
rnacentral:rRNA from 1 species